AGUGAACGCUGGCGGUAGGCCUAACACAUGCAAGUCGAACGGCAGCACAGGAGAGCUUGCUCUCUGGGUGGCGAGUGGCGGACGGGUGAGGAAUACAUCGGAAUCUACUCUGUCGUGGGGGAUAACGUAGGGAAACUUACGCUAAUACCGCAUACGACCUACGGGUGAAAGCAGGGGACCUUCGGGCCUUGCGCGAUUGAAUGAGCCGAUGUCGGAUUAGCUAGUUGGCGGGGUAAAGGCCCACCAAGGCGACGAUCCGUAGCUGGUCUGAGAGGAUGAUCAGCCACACUGGAACUGAGACACGGUCCAGACUCCGACGGGAGGCAGCAGUGGGGAAUAUUGGACAAUGGGCGCAAGCCUGAUCCAGCCAUACCGCGUGGGUGAAGAAGGCCUUCGGGUUGUAAAGCCCUUUCGUUGGGAAAGAAAUCCAGCUGGUUAAUACCCGGUUGGGAUGACGGUACCCAAAGAAUAAGCACCGGCUAACUUCGUGCCAGCCGCCGCGGUAA
rnacentral:rRNA from 1 species